AUCGUUGAUGAAGUACGCUUUUUGAAAAUGUUUAGGUAUAUGGGAGAUGUUUGUCAAUAAUGCAGUUUUUUUGAAAUUUGAAAUGCUGGGUGCUAACU
ensembl:ncRNA C05E4.16 ncRNA